rnacentral:lncRNA from 1 species
GAGCCCCAACAAGCCACGGCGGAGCGGGACGGUCCGUCCAGCGGCGGCCUCCGCAUGGCCCCACCGUGAGCGGCUGGACCCAGCGACUGGGAGCCAGAGCGGUCUAGCGGAAUCUCAAAAGCAGCUGGCAC